CUUUACUGCAGCUUCGCCUUGGCGUUAGCGGCAACAUGUGUAGGAUAGGUGGGAGGCUAUGAAACCGGGGCGCCAGUUCCGGGGGAGCCAUCCUUGAAAUACCACCCUUGUUGUCGCUGACGUCUAACCGCGGCCCGUUAUCCGGGUCCGGGACAUGGCGUGGCGGGCAGUUUGACUGGGGCGGUCGCCUCCCAAAGUGUAACGGAGGCGCGCGAUGGUGGGCUCAGAGCGGUCGGAAAUCGCUCGACGAGUGCAAUGGCAUAAGCCCGCCUGACUGCGAGACUGACAAGUCGAGCAGAGACGAAAGUCGGCCAUAGUGAUCCGGUGGUUCUGCGUGGAAGGGCCAUCGCUCAACGAAUAAAAGGUA
rnacentral:rRNA from 1 species